rnacentral:pre_miRNA from 1 species
UAAGGGUAAUUUGGUUUGAAACCUAAGGUGGUUUCCAAACAUUUUACCUUACUA